rnacentral:lncRNA from 12 species
UGGCAGCUGAGAAUGUUCCUUGUCAACAGGAGAAAGCUGCACAAAAAGCAGUGGGAAAGGUGUGAUUUGAUUCAACUAGUGUGCUGCCUAGAAGCCAUUUUGGCAUGUAAAUCAACUGCACAGGAGACAGACUGGCUGGUAGCUACAAAUAGGGGCAGAUGAUAAGACCUAUGGUGUCUAUCUGCAACUCUCUCACUGGGUAAGGAAGUAAUGCAGCUUCUCUGAGACUUACUUUAGAUAAUCAUGAAAUUAGGAAAUCAUAUUUAUCUGUCACUUUUUGUGUGAGCAUUGUGUAGU